AGAUCUUUAGGUAGUUUUCGUGCCAAACUUUAAUUGAAACAAAUCUAGGAGUUUUGUUAUGUUUACAAAAUUAGUUGCACCCCUUGUAUUGCAGGGAGUUUCCGCCGAAUUAUUUUAACAAAAAAAAAUUUUAUAGUUUCUAUUUCAAAUGUGGAUGGCUUUAAAUUAAAAAUGAGUUUGUAUUCAUGAGCGUGUUUGUUGUUUGACGGAUUUUGACGUAAGCGAAAGAAAAAGAAAAAGAAAUUUUUUGUCGAGUUGCCGAAUUGCCGCGAACAAAUCAUGACCAGCAGUUGCUGCUGGUCGGAAUCUUUGGAUUUACCAUGGAUUAGAGGUGGAAUCUGGACAGAGGACGAAAGAGGCGGCUGGUGAAACAAAUUCCAUCGGUCAGUUAAGUCGACAGCCAUCAUCACCUGGUUUAUCAUUCGAUAAGAUGUUGAAGUCGCAACAUUCGCGUUGCGGUUUCCGUUCAUCUCGGGAAGAUACACCAACCGCCCAAAGGUGGACAUCAGGGGUCAGAGGAACAAAUGAUGUCGUCGAUACCCAUACUAGUACUGAUGUUGCAGCUGUAGGUUGGAUAAUAAAUUUGUUGAAAAAAUUAA